UGGGGGAUAUUGCACAAUGGAGGAAACUCUGAUGCAGCAACGCCGCGUGAGGGAAGAAGGUUUUCGGAUUGUAAACCUCUGUUUUUAGUGAAGAAACAAAUGACGGUAGCUAAAGAGGAAGCCACGGCUAACUACGUGCCAGCAGCCGCGGUAAUACGUAGGUGGCAAGCGUUGUCCGGAUUUACUGGGUGUAAAGGGUGCGCAGGCGGGACUGCAAGUUGGAUGUGAAAAUCCGAGGCUCAACCUCGGAACUGCAUCCAAAACUGUGGUUCUUGAGUGGAGCAGAGGUAAGCGGAAUUCCGAGUGUAGCGGUGAAAUGCGUAGAUAUUCGGAGGAACACCAGUGGCGAAGGCGGCUUACUGGGCUCUAACUGACGCUGAGGCACGAAAGUGUGGGUAGCAAACAGG
rnacentral:rRNA from 2 species